ACGUAGGAGCCAAGCGUUAUCCGAAUUCACUGGGCGUAAAGCGCGUGCAGGCGGUAUGGCAAGUUGGAUGUGAAAUCUCCCGGCUCAACUGGGAGAGGCCGUUCAAUACUGCCAAACUAGAGGGCGACAGAGGGAGGUGGAAUUCCGGGUGUAGUUGUGAAGUGCGUAGAUAUCCGGAGGAACACCAGAGGCGAAGGCGACCUCCUGGGUCGCACCUGACGCUCAGACGCGAAAGCUAGGGGAGCAAACGGGA
rnacentral:rRNA from 1 species